rnacentral:rRNA from 1 species
AGGAAAUUAAGUACGGAAGUUCCUGAUUUCACGCUGUCAAGAAAAGCCUCUAGGAAGAGUAGUACUGCCCGUACCGCAAACCGACACAGGUAGAUGAGGAGAGAAUCCUAAGGUGAGCGAGAGAACUCUCGUUAAGGAACUCGGCAAAAUGACCCCGUAACUUCGGGAGAAGGGGUGCUCUAUUAGGGUGCAAGCCCGAGAGAGCCGCAGUGAAUAGGCCCAGGCGACUGUUUAGCAAAAACACAGGUCUCUGCAAAACCGUAAGGUGACGUAUAGGGGCUGACGCCUGCCCGGUGCUGGAAGGUUAAGAGGAGUGCUUAGCUUCGGCGAAGGUACGAAUUGAAGCCCCAGUAAACGGCGGCCGUAACUAUAACGGUCCUAAGGUAGCGAAAUUCCUUGUCGGGUAAGUUCCGACCCGCACGAAAGGCGCAACGAUCUGGGCACUGUCUCAACGAGAGACUCGGUGAAAUUAUAGUACCUGUGAAGAUGCAGGUUACCCGCGACAGGACGGAAAGACCCCGUGGAGCUUUACUGCAACCUGAUAUGGAAUGUUUGUACCGCUUGUACAGGAUAGGUAGGAGCCGAAGAGACGUGUGCGCUAGCAUACGAGGAGGCAAUGGUGGGAUACUACCCUGGCUGUAUGACCAUUCUAACCCGCCACGCUUAGCGCGUGGGGAGACAGUGUCAGGUGGGCAGUUUGACUGGGGCGGUCGCCUCCUAAAGAGUAACGGAGGCGCCCAAAGGUUCCCUCAGAAUGGAUGGAAAUCAUUCGCAGAGUGUAAAGGCACAAGGGAGCUUGACUGCGAGACUGACAAGUCGAGCAGGGACGAAAGUCGGGCUUAGUGAUCCGGUGGUUCCGCAUGGAAGGGCCAUCGCUCAACGGAUAAAAGCUACCCCGGGGAUAACAGGCUUAUCUCCCCCAAGAGUCCACAUCGACGGGGAGGUUUGGCACCUCGAUGUCGGCUCGUCGCAUCCUGGGGCUGUAGUCGGUCCCAAGGGUUGGGCUGUUCG